UCUGCUCCUGGCUUAUAGAUGGCACCUUCUCACUGUGUCCUCACAUGGCCUCUCCUCUGUGUACACAGGCAGAGAGACAGCUCUGGCCUGGUUGACAGACUUAUCACCGGUCACCUGGAAUAUUCUGAUAAUUUUCUAACUGGUCUAAAUGCCUCCGAUACCUCCAAUCCCUCCUACACACUGACACAAGAAUGUUCUUCCUAAAACAAAGCGCCCUUGGAUCCCCCAAAAGAGAACACCAGCUCUGGAAUCACCAGGACCUGGCUCAGAUCUCCACCCUGUAAUGAAAUGGCCAGCUAUCUGGGACG